rnacentral:rRNA from 1 species
GACGUAGGAGACAAGCGUUAUCCGGAUUUACUGGGUGUAAAGCGCGUGCAGGCGGCUCUGUAAGUUGGAUGUGAAAGCUCCCGGCUUAACUGGGAGAGGUCGUUCAAUACUGCAGGGCUAGAGGAUAGCAGAGGGGAGUGGAACUCCGAGUGUAGCGGUAAAAUGCAUAGAUAUUCGGAAGAACACCAGUGGCGAAAGCGGCUCUCUGGGCUAUAUCUGACGCUCAGACGCGAAAGCUAGGGUAGCAAACGGG